rnacentral:rRNA from 1 species
UACGGAGGGCGCAAGCGUUGUUCGGAAUCAUUGGGCGUAAAGCGCGUGCAGGCGGCUUGGUAAGUCGGGUGUGAAAUCCCGGGGCUCAACCCCGGAACUGCACCCGAUACUGCCUCGCUCGAGUCCCGGAGAGGAUGGCGGAAUUUCCGGUGUAGAGGUGAAAUUCGUAGAUAUCGGAAGGAACACCAGCGGCGAAGGCGGCCAUCUGGACGGUGACUGACGCUCAGACGCGAAAGCGUGGGGAGCAAACAGG